rnacentral:rRNA from 1 species
UACGGAGGGUGCGAGCGUUGUCCGGAAUCAUUGGGCGUAAAGGGCGCGUAGGUGGCCUGCUAAGCGUGCGGUGAAAGCUCGGGGCUCAACCCCGAGUCGGCCGUGCGAACUGGUGGGCUUGAGCACUGUAGAGGCAGGCGGAAUUCCGGGUGUAGCGGUGAAAUGCGUAGAGAUGCGGAGGAACACCAGUGGCGAAAGCGGCUUCUGGUCCUAACUGACGCUGAGGCGCGAAAGCAUGGGAGCGAACGGG